UACGAGGGGGGCAAAUGUUGUUCGGAAUCACUGGGCGUAAAGGGAGCGUAGGCGGGUUCUUAAGUAAGGUGUUUAAUCCCGGGGCCCAACCCCGGACCGGCACUUUAAACUGGGAAUCUUGAAUAGUGGAGAGGUCGGUGGAAUUGGGGGUGUAGCGGUGGAAUGCGUAGAGAUCCCCAAGAACACCAGUUGCGAAGGCGGCCGACUGGACACAUAUUGACGCUGAGGCUCGAAAAGCAUGGGGGAGCAAACAGG
rnacentral:rRNA from 1 species